rnacentral:rRNA from 1 species
GACGAACGCUGGCGGCGUGCCUAAUACAUGCAAGUUGAGCGCUGAAGGUUGGUGCUUGUACCAACUGGAUGAGCAGCGAACGGGUGAGUAACGCGUGGGGAAUCUGCCUUUGAGCGGGGGACAACAUUUGGAAACGAAUGCUAAUACCGCAUAACAACUUUAAACACAAGUUUUAAGUUUGAAAGAUGCAAUUGCAUCACUCAAAGAUGAUCCCGCGUUGUAUUAGCUAGUUGGUGAGGUAAAGGCUCACCAAGGCGAUGAUACAUAGCCGACCUGAGAGGGUGAUCGGCCACAUUGGGACUGAGACACGGCCCAAACUCCUACGGGAGGCAGCAGUAGGGAAUCUUCGGCAAUGGACGAAAGUCUGACCGAGCAACGCCGCGUGAGUGAAGAAGGUUUUCGGAUCGUAAAACUCUGUUGGUAGAGAAGAACGUUGGUGAGAGUGGAAAGCUCAUCAAGUGACGGUAACUACCCAGAAAGGGACGGCUAACUACGUG